AGAGUUUGAUCCUGGCUCAGGACGAACGCUGGCGGCGUGCUUAACACAUGCAAGUCUACGAGAAAGAGGUAGCAAUAUCUUGAGUAAAGUGGCGCACGGGUGGGUAAUAUGUAAGUAAUCUGCCAAUAGAUUUGGAAUAACGCAGAGAAAUUUGCGCUAAUACCGAAUGAUGCAGCGGCACCGCAUGGUGAUGUUGUUAAAGUCUAUAUGGCGGCUAUGGAUGAGCUUGCAUCUGAUUAGCUAGUUGGUGGGGUAAUGGCCCACCAAGGCAACGAUCAGUAGCUGGUCUGAGAGGAUGAUCAGCCACACUGGAACUGAGACACGGUCCAGACUCCUACGGGAGGCAGCAGUGAGGAAUAUUGGGCAAUGCCCGCAAGGGUGACCCAGCAACGCCGCGUGGAGGAUGAAUGCCGUAAGGUUGUAAACUCCUGUGAGAAGGGAAGAAAGUGCGGAAUCGAAUUCCGCUUUGACUGUACCUUCAGAGGAAACCCCGGCUAACUACGUGCCAGCAGCCGCGGUAAUACGUAGGGGGUUAGCGUUGUCCGGAUUUACUGGGUGUAAAGGGCGCGUAGGCGGGUUUGUAAGUCAGAGGUGAAAUCCUGCAGCUUAACUGCAGAGCUGCCUUUGAUACUGCAAAUCUUGAGUUCAGAAGAGAGAGAUGGAAUUCCAGGUGUAGUGGUGAAAUACGUAGAUAUCUGGAAGAACACCAGUGGCGAAGGCGGUCUCUUGGUCUGUAACUGACGCUGAGGCGCGAAAGCGUGGGUAGCAAACAGGAUUAGAUACCCUGGUAGUCCACGCCGUAAACGAUGAGAACUAGGUGUUGCGGGUAUUGACCCCUGCAGUGCCGCAGCUAACGCAUUAAGUUCUCCGCCUGGGAAGUACGGUCGCAAGACUAAAACUCAAAGGAAUUGAUGG
rnacentral:rRNA from 1 species